GACGUAGGGCGCGAGCGUUGUCCGGAUUUAUUGGGCGUAAAGAGCUCGUAGGCGGCUUGUCGCGUCGACUGUGAAAACCCGCGGCUCAACUGUGGGCUUGCAGUCGAUACGGGCAGGCUGGAGUUCGGUAGGGGAGACUGGAAUUUACGGUGUAGCGGUGAAAUGCGUAGAUAUCGUAAGGAAGACCAGUGGCGAAGGCGGGUCUCUGGACAGUUCCUGACGCUGAGGCACGAAGGUCAGGGGAGCAAACGGG
rnacentral:rRNA from 1 species